rnacentral:pre_miRNA from 1 species
UCGAGGAUUACCGGGCCAUUUCUCCUUGGGCAGAGUAAUUGAAUUUUACUUUGCUGGAUCCGGUUUGCUCUGCCAAAGGAGAUUUGCCCAGCAAUCCACAU